UACGUAGGGGGCAAGCGUUGUCCGGAUUUAUUGGGCGUAAAGAGCGUGUAGGCGGCUAGGUAGGUCCGUUGUGAAAACUCGAGGCUCAACCUCGAGACGCCGGUGGAAACCAUCUAGCUAGAGUCCGGAAGAGGAGAGUGGAAUUCCUGGUGUAGCGGUGAAAUGCGCAGAUAUCAGGAAGAACACCCAUGGCGAAGGCGGCUCUCUGGGACGUGACUGACGCUGAGACGCGAAAGCGUGGGGAGCGAACAGG
rnacentral:rRNA from 1 species